rnacentral:rRNA from 1 species
AGAUUGAACGCUGGCGGCAUGCCUAACACAUGCAAGUCGAACGGGAGUAGCAAUACUCUAGUGGCGGACGGGUGAGGAAUACGUAGGAAUUUGCCCUUAAGUGGGGGAUAACCCGGGGAAACCCGGAUUAAUACCGCAUGACCUCGAAAGAGCAAAGUGGGGGAUCGCAAGACCUCACGCUUUUGGAGAAGCCUACGUCGGAUUAGCUAGUUGGUGAGGUAAUGGCUCACCAAGGCGACGAUCCGUAAACUGGUCUGAGAGGGAUGAUCAGUCACACCGGAACUGAGACACGGUCCCGGACUCC